rnacentral:rRNA from 1 species
UACGUAGGGUGCGAGCGUUGUCCGGAAUUACUGGGCGUAAAGAGCUCGUAGGCGGCUUGUCGCGUUGUCCGUGAAAAUUUACAGCUCAACUGUGAACUUGCGGGCGAUACGGGCAGGCUAGAGUACUGCAGGGGAGACUGGAAUUCCUGGUGUAGCGGUGAAAUGCGCAGAUAUCAGGAGGAACACCGGUGGCGAAGGCGGCCCACUGGUCCGGUACUGACGGCUGAGCACGACGAAGCGUGGGGAGCGAACAGG